UACGUAGGGUGCAAGCGUUAAUCGGAAUUACUGGGCGUAAAGCGUGCGCAGGCGGUUCGUUAAGUUCGUCGUGAAAGCCCCGGGCUCAACCUGGGAAUGGCGAUGGAAACUGGCGGGCUGGAGUGCGGCAGAGGGGGGUGGAAUUCCACGUGUAGCAGUGAAAUGCGUAGAGAUGCGGAGGAACACCGAUGGCGAAGGCAGCCCCCUGGGUUGACACUGACGCUCAGGCACGAAAGCGUGGGGAGCAAACAGG
rnacentral:rRNA from 1 species